GAUGAACGCUGGCGGCGUGCCUAAUACAUGCAAGUCGAGCGAACGGACGAGAAGCUUGCUUCUCUGAUGUUAGCGGCGGACGGGUGGGUAACACGUGGAUAACCUACCUAUAAGACUGGGAUAACUUCGGGAAACCGGAGCUAAUACCGGAUAAUAUUUUGAACCGCAUGGUUCAAAAGUGAAAGACGGUCUUGCUGUCACUUAUAGAUGGAUCCGCGCUGCAUUAGCUAGUUGGUAAGGUAACGGCUUACCAAGGCAACGAUGCAUAGCCGACCUGAGAGGGUGAUCGGCCACACUGGAACUGAGACACGGUCCAGACUCCUACGGGAGGCAGCAGUAGGGAAUCUUCCGCAAUGGGCGAAAGCCUGACGGAGCAACGCCGCGUGAGUGAUGAAGGUCUUCGGAUCGUAAAACUCUGUUAUUAGGGAAGAACAUAUGUGUAAGUAACUGUGCACAUCUUGACGGUACCUAAUCAGAAAGCCGCGGCUAACUACGUGCCAGCAGCCGCGGUAAUACGUANGUGGGCAGCGUUAUCCGGAAUUAUUGGGCGUAAAGCGCGCGUAGGCGGUUUUUUAGUCUGAUGUGAAAGCCCACGGCUCAACCGUGGAGGGUCAUUGGAAACUGGAAAACUUGAGUGCAGAAGAGGAAAGUGGAAUUCCAUGUGUAGCGGUGAAAUGCGCAGAGAUAUGGAGGAACACCAGUGGCGAAGGCGACUUUCUGGUCUGUAACUGACGCUGAUGUGCGAAAGCGUGGGGAUCAAACAGGAUUAGAUACCCUGGUAGUCCACGCCGCAAACGAUGAGUGCUAAGUGUUAGGGGGUUUCCGCCCCUUAGUGCUGCAGCUAACGCAUUAAGCACUCCGCCUGGGGAGUACGACCGCAAGGUUGAAACUCAAAGGAAUUGACGGGGACCCGCACAAGCGGUGGAGCAUGUGGUUUAAUUCGAAGCAACGCGAAGAACCUUACCAAAUCGUGACAUCCUUUGACAACUCUAGAGAUAGAGCCUUCCCCUUCGGGGGACAAAGUGACAGGUGGUGCAUGGUUGUCGUCAGCUCGUGUCGUGAGAUGUUGGGUUAAGUCCCGCAACGAGCGCAACCCUUAAGCUUAGUUGCCAUCAUUAAGUUGGGCACUCUAAGUUGACUGCCGGUGACAAACCGGAGGAAGGUGGGGAUGACGUCAAAUCAUCAUGCCCCUUAUGAUUUGGGCUACACACGUGCUACAAUGGACAAUACAAAGGGCAGCGAAACCGCGAGGUCAAGCAAAUCCCAUAAAGUUGUUCUCAGUUCGGAUUGUAGUCUGCAACUCGACUACAUGAAGCUGGAAUCGCUAGUAAUCGUAGAUCAGCAUGCUACGGUGAAUACGUUCCCGGGUCU
rnacentral:rRNA from 1 species